AGAGUUUGAUCCUGGCUCAGAGCGAACGCUGGCGGCAGGCUUAACACAUGCAAGUCGAACGGGCGUAGCAAUACGUCAGUGGCAGACGGGUGAGUAACACGUGGGAACGUACCUUUUGGUUCGGAACAACUGAGGGAAACUUCAGCUAAUACCGGAUAAGCCCUUACGGGGAAAGAUUUAUCGCCGAAAGAUCGGCCCGCGUCUGAUUAGCUAGUUGGUGGGGUAAGAGCCCACCAAGGCGACGAUCAGUAGCUGGUCUGAGAGGAUGAUCAGCCACAUUGGGACUGAGACACGGCCCAAACUCCUACGGGAGGCAGCAGUGGGGAAUAUUGGACAAUGGGCGAAAGCCUGAUCCAGCCAUGCCGCGUGAGUGAUGAAGGCCCUAGGGUUGUAAAGCUCUUUUAACGGGGAAGAUAAUGACGGUACCCGUAGAAUAAGCCCCGGCUAACUUCGUGCCAGCAGCCGCGGUAAUACGAAGGGGGCUAGCGUUGCUCGGAAUCACUGGGCGUAAAGCGCACGUAGGCGGACUCUUAAGUCGGUGGUGAAAUCCUGGAGC
rnacentral:rRNA from 1 species